UUUCCGUAGGUGAACCUGCGGAAGGAUCAUUCAUAAUAAAGUGUUUUAUGGCACUUUUUAAAAAUCCAUAUCCACCUUGUGUGCAAUGUUAGAUCUCGUCAAUCUUGGCGAGAUUUUUAUACAUCAAUUCAUUCUUUAACUAAUUUGUCUGAAAAAUAUUAUGAAUACUUAAUUCAAAAUACAACUUUCAACAACGGAUCUCUUGGCUCUC
rnacentral:misc_RNA from 1 species